rnacentral:lncRNA from 1 species
AGAUGAUGCACCUUACUAGAUCAUAUGAAGAUCCUUGCUCCCAUGCGCCAAAAGCAUUAUGUAUAUACAUUAAGGUGACAUGAAAUCUAUCCAUUAAUAAUAUAAUCCGAAAGAAAAUUAAACAUUUGUUUAAUUAACAAAGUAGGGGGUUUAGGUGUCGGUAGGUAAUCAUUUCAAUAGAUUGUUCAUCAUUGGCUCUUAGGAAAGCCAAAUGUUUUUUCAAAUGCUAACUAUAAUAAAUAUAGUAACCCUAAAUAUAGUGUUUGCAAAACAAUCAUAACUACAUCAACCAAGACGGAAAUUUUUCAGAAACUCAUAUAAAGUGUAUAAUGAUAAAAGUAGGAUUAAUGGAAAUAAAACGAACAUUAAUAGAUAAAUAUGCGUAAUUUUGACCAUUUAGUUUUGAUAUAAUAAUUGAUCAUAGAAACUGACAACCUCAGAAAAAACCUAGUGUGUAAACUCACCAUCCCCAACAAAAGUCGAAUUACACCACACGAAUCCAGUUGCUCCCUCUCUCCAAGCAGCAAGUAGUCAUCUUGCCACAUAAGCUCUCCACUCCAACCGAGUGAUCGAGUAAAUCUCCAAGUUUAUGAAAUACGCUCUCAAGUAGCGACAAUUAACAUCACGAAACAAGCCACAUAUAGAUGCUAGUCUGGGAUGGGAAAUAAUAGACAUAUCCGAAUGGAGAGCAACACACAUAAAUGACCGUGAUAACGAUAAAAAAAUAUAUAUCACCGUUUUGGUGGGUGAAUCAGUAUGAACCGAAUGAUCAUUUAACAUAGCAUCCUCUAUCAACUUGGCCCAUAAAUAGAUAUGCUUUGACAAAUCCUCGAAAGUGAUGUAAAUAUCAAUAAAGAUAAAUUCAUUUUGUCUUCCAGAGAGAGAGAUCAGCUAGGCAAGCCCCAAAAAAAAUUAAGAGUUCAACGUCUUCAAGUGGACACAAAGAGAUCAACCGGCGAUGAGCCUCCAACAAUUUUUUGCCGAAAAUUUAUAAUUAAUUAUAAUCAAUCCGAAUCGAUAGCACUGAACACAACCAUCAACAGACACCUUCAACGCGAUGACGCUAUUUUUUUAGAUAACUGAAAAUACUAUAUAUUCUCCCUCGCUAAACCUCGGUGAGAGUUAAAUACUUUAAAAAAGACCAGACCCAAUAAGUUUGUAACACAGAUCCAAACUUUGAUUCCAUGUUUAACAACUUGUUUUUGUUUUAUUAGUGAUAUUGAUGGAAACACAAUAUUAAUUUAAUGUCUAGUGGGUUUCAGUUACGAUCAGUACAAACUCCUCCUUAGAGUCAACAAGUUACACUGUUAGUGAGCCUUUUAAUCAAACCCACACCCAAAAUCCAUCUUGGUUCAUUGUAAUUCAAACCUCCCACCCCCACAAUGCCUAACCAAAUUGAUCUUUUGGAGUUGAGGAUCGGACCUACCCAUGACCCACAACCUUAUCCACUACUCACUUCACUUUCGGUUCAACCCCUUGUAAUCAAAGGCGGCCACUCAUAAGUCAUAAUAUACAUUUGUCCCACCCCCACCAACAAUAUUCUGCUCUUUCAUUGUCAAGUAUUUUGAAGGCGUAUAUUUUUGUUUUCUAAUUGUUUAUUCUAAUUCAAGAUAUGUAGCUACAUCAAGUCAAAUCGUAACUUUCUUCCUUUUUGUAUUUUAUUUCGUGCAAUUCAAUUUCAAAAAUUUAUAAGCUCACUAAUAUUGGUUUUAAAAAGCGCUUUUCAUCGAUUCAAUUUUCACAAAUGUAUCGAUGAUUAAUACUAUCUAUCAACGUUAUUUUAACAAAUAAUUUUUUUAUUAAGAACAUAUUAGUCCAUUUAUAUGAAAAUAAUGAAUGUACAAAUUUCAAUACAGAUUGCAUAGCCGCGCCCUAAAAGUUUUGUGAUUUAAUAUAAACUCAAUGAUAUUAAACUAAUGCUAAUAUAAUAAAUAUGUAGAUCCGUUAGUUUGGUUUUGGGUUGAUUUAGACCGAUCAUCGUUGGUUAUUUUCAAUGUGUACGAUAAUAAGUUGUUCUUUGUUGAAACUUGACCACUAAACAUAAAAAUUCGUAUCGAGUUACAAGCACUUUACCAAACAAAGAAUAAACACAUCGAGGAAUGUUNNNNNNNNNNNNNNNNNNNNNNNNNNNNNNNNNNNNNNNNNNNNNNNNNNNNNNNNNNNNNNNNNNNNNNNNNNNNNNNNNNNNNNNNNNNNNNNNNNNNNNNNNNNNNNNNNNNNNNNNNNNNNNNNNNNNNNNNNUAUAUAUGACAACUAUAGAAAAAAUGUUUCGACAAAUUUAAUUCUAAAUAUCAAAUUCGGUCCACAAUUGUUGGUCCACAUAAAUGGAAUUUAAGUCGGACCAAAUGAUCACCCCAUUUGCAUCACUAAUUUGAACAGCUGAGUUCUUGAACUUAGUUCCACAUAUCGGAGUCAAAAUUGUCUGAUAGAUAAUUGAUUGAAAAUGCUUCAUAAUGGAAAUUCAUAUUCUACUUCAGGGACGUGAUUCAUCAUAAAAAUUCUAUUCCGGUUAUUGGUAUUUUUUAUCAAUUCAAUAUAUAGAAACUCAUGUAUAUACCAGGAAACAAUUCAAGUUUUUCGUUACGAAAUGUUCACUUCACCGCUAAUUAACCGUCAACAAAGAAAUAGUGAAACUUUCAAUACUAAGUUCUAAUCAACUCCAAUACCACUCGACUAUAUCUAUGUACUUAUUACAAAUUUUAUCUGAACUUAAUAUGUAAACAAAUUAUUAAUAGAAAGAAUAGAAAUAAUUAUCAAAAGAAAUUUCAGAUGAGGCAGCUUAUUCACAUGUUCAUGCACUAACUCGAUCACAGGUUAAAAGAACCAAACAUUUUGAUAGUAAUAUUAUAAUGAAACUGGUUGACUGAACAGAAAGAUGAAAUCCUCUCAUCCUUCUCCUCUUUUUGAAAGCCCCGGGUUUUUCAUUAUUCUCUCCUCGCCGGAGCAUAAUUUUUCUUCCGGGGACCUACCGUGUUCCAACUUUGGAAUUGUGGAAGAUCAUACAUCAAAGGAUUUUGUUUUCUCCCAAUCCCCCUGCAUUCAAGACACUAAGAGAAGGAGUUCAUCAAACCAAGUGAAAGGAGAAGGACUAAUAUCCAGAGUAAUAACUUCCACAUUUAUGAUCUCAUUCUUUUACAAGUUACUUUAGAGUCUCCAUAAGUACCCCUUCAUUCAAUACUUCAUCUCAUCUACUAAGUGUAGGAUUCAUAAACCCAGAAAGAAAAGGAGGAUUUUAAAAUUCUCUGCCACCCUCGAGCCUCAAAAACGUCAAGAUAUUAAACUCCCAAACCAUUUCCUCUACCAACGACCUCAGGCCCUGCCUCUGCAAUUGAUGAGAUAUUCCCACCUUAUAUAAAUAAGAGGAAGACCAUAAAACACCAACAUAGACAAAGUAAACCCACCAUCAAAAUAAAGCUCUCUUUGCCAAAAAAUUCAUACCUCAAGAAAGUGGAGAUGAACUACCUGCUUUCCCAAGCCGAAAACUGGAGCAUUGGUAAGGAAAACCCCCCAAAUCAAGCUCAAGCCUUCUGGUUCAUCCUCAUAUGGCCCUUUUUUCAUGAUCGGCAAAUGCAUCGGAAGCCAAGUGAUGAAAUACCCAGCGGUUGUAGGAAGUUCCAGGCGAUUCUGGGACGGUCAUGGGCAUUUUGAUGUAAAGUCAGUAAAAGCCUCCGAGCGCCAUUUUUUUCCACUUUCCGGAAUGAGAAACUGAGAACGCAUGCCUGGGAAAAUCAGCCGUAUAUCAUCUCCAACUCCUUGCUGUGUUUGAAGAAAUGGGAUGGAAGGGGUAACCCUGAGAAGAGAAGCUUUAGGGAAAGCCCCCUCUGGAUCAACCUUAUCCUUCAGGGAAAAUUGGUGAUCUCCUGACUCGUUGUGAAGCUCCCAGCAAUGGUGGUGACGGUGCUCAGUCGGGGUUCUUCCGACCAUCUCUCAAAGCCGGUUGCGACUAUAUCAGAUUGAUCGGAGAGUCGAUCAAUUCGUAGAGAAGAAGAAAUGCAGAGGAAGAAAUGCAGAGAAGAAGAUAAGAUUGAGUCUGAAAGUCUGAGUUGAUUCAUUCUGUUGGUUGGGUUUUUAUACCAAACCCAACGGUAACUUCAACAGUAAAAACGAAAUUAUAAACGCGGGUAAAACACGUGUCCACGUUUGAUACAUCAAUAGUUAAAACGCAAACGGAGGAUAAAAC